AUGGCUGUCCUGCGCAUCCCAAAAAGAUUCUACAAGGACGUCGACAAGGCACGGUGGCGGUUCCUGUGGGUGCACGACCACGAGGUCACCGGCGGUAGAUGCAAAGUAAACUGGCGGUUAGUCACGUCCCCGGUCGAUCACGGCGGCCUCGGCAUCCCCAGCAUGGAGCGGUUCGCACGUGCAUUGUGCCUCCGUUGGUUGUGGUUGGCGUGGACGGACCCGGCCAGGCCAUGGGCACGCAUGGGGACGCCUUGUGACGACAAGGAUAGAGCACUCUUC
rnacentral:rRNA from 1 species